AAAGCGUGACGUUUGGCUGUUGCGGGCGGGAUUCUUCAAGAAAUGUGGGACUGUCCCAUGGAUCGCGUGACACUUGGGGGGAGUCUAAUUUCUAUUAAAAAAAAACAAAGUCGAAACAUAUGCUGUGCAAGAGGACGUGCAGAAAAAGUCUUAAUGACAGAUUGUAAUUUGGAAGGAAAAUUUAACAGGACACGUUUUACAAUUUUUCAUAUACCUGGUAGUUUUCAAGAAAAAUGCCUAGUCCAUAGAAAUGUGGUCACCCUAUAUAUUUACAUUGAGGAACACAACAGUUAUAAGGUAAGUUGCCCAAUAGCUG
rnacentral:lncRNA from 1 species